rnacentral:rRNA from 1 species
UACGGGGGGAGCAAGCGUUGUUCGGAUUUACUGGGCGUAAAGGGCGCGUAGGCGGCGUAACAAGUCACUUGUGAAAUCUCCGGGCUUAACCCGGAGCGGCCAAGUGAUACUGUUGUGCUAGAGUGCGGAAGAGGCUACUGGAAUUCUCGGUGUAUCGGUGAAAUGCGUAGAUAUCGAGAGGAACACCUGCGGCGAAGGCGGGUAGCUGGGCCGACACUGACGCUGAGGCGCGAAAGCCAGGGGAGCGAACGGG